rnacentral:lncRNA from 12 species
ACUGGGGGCCAGAUUGAUUUCAAUCUUUAAAUUACCCUAGGGCCCCAGAGGUCUCCAACUAUGGAGAAAAGACCCUGGUGCUGGGGCAAUGGCCACUUGGCAAGUUUUUCAUGAGGAUUAAAGGAGGCUUAUUUCUAUGAAGGGCCUACUGUAUUUCCAAGAGGAAGGAGUCACUGUUAUCUGUUAGAAGGAAGAAGCCCUUGCAGAAAGGACACAACUCCGUGCUCUCCCUGGCUAUCUUGCUUGCUCCAUUCCCAGAGGCUUCCAAAGAGUGUCUACUGUGAAGGAGGAACACCAGAAAGAGGAGUUCCAGAUGUUUGCCUGCAUCCCUGUGGUUCCCUUUUGACAAGCCCUCUGCACACAGUUGUGUUCUGUUCAGGUUACCUCUUAAGCCUUCACUGGAGCAAGGAGAGUCGGUAGCUGGAGGACUUGUGUGGAUGCCCACCGUCCUCACCACCAUGUCGCAUGUCUCCCAUGCUCCAGGCUGAGGUUUUAGUCCUUAAUAUCCAAGGUAGUUAGUGCCUUGACUUCAAGUUCACUUGUCUUUCACUUCAUGAUGUAGAAGUAGCUCAGAGUAGCGGGGAACACACUAGGCUGGUGCCUGAGGGUCCUGACUGCCUGUCCUAGCUCGGCCACUGAUAGCUGUGGGGUCUUGGGCAACUUCCCCAUUUAGAACUGCAAUUGUCAACGGGGGCAUCUACAUUCCCAUUCUUCGCCACUCAAGCCCCCUUUCCCACUGGAUGUAGAGUCCUCCAGAAAGGUCUACCAGUGACUGGAUUUGCUCA